rnacentral:rRNA from 1 species
GAUGAACACUGGCGGCGUGCCUAAUACAUGCAAGUCGAGCGAAUGGAUUAAGAGCUUGCUCUUAUGAAGUUAGCGGCGGACGGGUGAGUAACACGUGGGUAACCUGCCCAUAAGACUGGGAUAACUCCGGGAAACCGGGGCUAAUACCGGAUAACAUUUUGAACCGCAUGGUUCGAAAUUGAAAGGCGGCUUCGGCUGUCACUUAUGGAUGGACCCGUGUCGCAUUAGCUAGUUGGUGAGGUAACGGCUCACCAAGGCAACGAUGCGUAGCCGACCUGAGAGGGUGAUCGGCCACACUGGGACUGAGACACGGCCCAGACUCCUACGGGAGGCAGCAGUAGGGAAUCUUCCGCAAUGGACGAAAGUCUGACGGAGCAACGCCGCGUGAGUGAUGAAGGCUUUCGGGUCGUAAAACUCUGUUGUUAGGGAAGAACAAGUGCUAGUUGAAUAAGCUGGCACCUUGACGGUACCUAACCAGAAAGCCACGGCUAGCUACGUGCCAGCAGCCGCAGUAA